CCUGGGAGGCAUCAACAUGGGAAUCUCGAGUAGGAUCAGAGAGGUUAUUUUACCUCUGGAUUUGACACUGGUGUGACCGCUGCUGGAAUCCUGUGCCCAGUUCUGGUGCCCACAGUUCAAGAACGAUGUCGAUAAAUUGGAGAGGGUUCCCAGAAGAGCCCUGAG